AACGAACGCUGGCGGCAGGCCUAACACAUGCAAGUCGAGCGAGGACUUCGGUUCUAGCGGCGGACGGGUGAGUAACGCGUGGGAAUGUGCCCUUCUCUACGGAAUAGCCCUGGGAAACUGGGAGUAAUACCGUAUACGCCCUAUUGGGGAAAGAUUUAUCGGAGAAGGAUCAGCCCGCGUUGGAUUAGGUAGUUGGUGGGGUAAUGGCCUACCAAGCCGACGAUCCAUAGCUGGUUUGAGAGGAUGAUCAGCCACACUGGGACUGAGACACGGCCCAGACUCCUACGGGAGGCAGCAGUGGGGAAUCUUAGACAAGGGGGGCAACCCUGAUCUAGCCAUGCCGCGUGAGUGAUGAAGGCCUUAGGGUUGUAAAGCUCUUUCAGCUGGGAAGAUAAUGACGGUACCAGCAGAAGAAGCCCCGGCUAACUCCGUG
rnacentral:rRNA from 1 species